rnacentral:rRNA from 1 species
CAGGCUUAACACAUGCAAGUCGAGGGGCAGCAUGGUCUUAGCUUGCUAAGGCCGAUGGCGACCGGCGCACGGGUGAGUAACACGUAUCCAACCUGCCGUCUACUCUUGGACAGCCUUCUGAAAGGAAGAUUAAUACAAGAUGGCAUCAUGAGUCCGCAUGUUCACAUGAUUAAAGGUAUUCCGGUAGACGAUGGGGAUGCGUUCCAUUAGAUAGUAGGCGGGGUAACGGCCCACCUAGUCUUCGAUGGAUAGGGGUUCUGAGAGGAAGGUCCCCCACAUUGGAACUGAGACACGGUCCAAACUCCUACGGGAGGCAGCAGUGAGGAAUAUUGGUCAAUGGGCGAGAGCCUGAACCAGCCAAGUAGCGUGAAGGAUGACUGCCCUAUGGGUUGUAAACUUCUUUUAUAAAGGAAUAAAGUCGGGUAUGGAUACCCGUUUGCAUGUACUUUAUGAAUAAGGAUCGGCUAACUCCGUGCCAGCAGCCGCGGUAAUACGGAGGAUCCGAGCGUUAUCCGGAUUUAUUGGGUUUAAAGGGAGCGUAGAUGGAUGUUUAAGUCAGUUGUGAAAGUUUGCGGCUCAACCGUAAAAUUGCAGUUGAUACUGGAUAUCUUGAGUGCAGUUGAGGCAGGCGGAAUUCGUGGUGUAGCGGUGAAAUGCUUAGAUAUCACGAAGAACUCCGGUUGCGAAGGCAGCCUGCUAAGCUGCAACUGACAUUGAGGCUCGAAAGUGUGGGUAUCAAACAGGAUUAGAUACCCUGGUAGUCCACACGGUAAACGAUGAAUACUCGCUGUUUGCGAUAUACUGCAAGCGGCCAAGCGAAAGCGUUAAGUAUUCCCACCUGGGGAGUACGCCGGCAACGGUGAAACUCAAAGGAAUUGACGGGGGCCCGCACAAGCGGAGGAACAUGUGGUUUAAUUCGAUGAUACGCGAGGAACCUUACCCGGGCUUAAAUUGCAGAUGAAUUACGGUGAAAGCCGUAAGCCGCAAGGCAUCUGUGAAGGUGCUGCAUGGUUGUCGUCAGCUCGUGCCGUGAGGUGUCGGCUUAAGUGCCAUAACGAGCGCAACCCUUGUUGUCAGUUACUAACAGGUUCCGCUGAGGACUCUGACAAGACUGCCAUCGUAAGAUGUGAGGAAGGUGGGGAUGACGUCAAAUCAGCACGGCCCUUACGUCCGGGGCUACACACGUGUUACAAUGGGGGGUACAGAGGGCCGCUACCACGCGAGUGGAUGCCAAUCCCCAAAACCUCUCUCAGUUCGGACUGGAGUCUGCAACCCGACUCCACGAAGCUGGAUUCGCUAGUAAUCGCGCAUCAGCCACGGCGCGGUGAAUACGUUCCCAGGCCUUGUACACACCGCCCGUCAAGCCAUGGGAGCCGGGGGUACCUGAAGUGCGUAACCGCGAGGAGCGCCCUAGGGUAAAACUGGUGACUGGGGCUAAGU